rnacentral:rRNA from 1 species
UACGUAGGGGGCAAGCGUUGUCCGGAUUUAUUGGGCGUAAAGAGCUCGUAGGCGGCUAUUCACGUCGGAUGUGAAAGCUCAAGGCUCAACCUUGAGAGGCCAUUCGAUACGGGAUAGCUAGAGGUAGGUAGGGGAGAUCGGAACUCCUGGUGUAGCGGUGAAAUGCGCAGAUAUCAGGAGGAACACCGAUGGCGAAGGCAGGUCUCUGGGCCGAUACUGACGCUGAGGAGCGAAAGCGUGGGGAGCGAACAGG